rnacentral:rRNA from 1 species
UACAGAGGUCUCAAGCGUUGUUCGGAUUCAUUGGGCGUAAAGGGUGCGUAGGUGGCGCGCUAAGUCAGGUGUGAAAUCUCGGGGCUUAACUCCGAAACUGCAUUCGAUACUGCGGUGCUUGAGGACUGGAGAGGAGACUGGAAUUCAUGGUGUAGCAGUGAAAUGCGUAGAGAUCAUGAGGAAGACCAGUGGCGAAGGCGGGUCUCUGGACAGUUCCUGACACUGAGACACGAAGGCCAGGGGAGCAAACGGG